UGAAGAUAAAGGGCAUCCCGAAGAAUCCUCGAUGGAAAAGGCAGAAACUCUGUUGAAAAAGAAUCCGGAGGACUAUCCAGACAAUGAUGCCAAAGAUCCUGAUCUUAUUCCUCCAAAAUCAAACUAUUUCGACUAUCCGUCCGAAGAAAGAGAGUGGUAUUCAUUCAGAAGAAGCAAAGCCACAGAUAAAAUCUAUGACAACCACAUACCAGGUUCGCAUCCUUUGUACGAUAGCGGAGGACCAAGCACAGCUCCUUGUCAAACUUCGAUCAAGGAAAAUAUAAAAUAUUCAGAUCUUGGACCACCUCAGGAGAUUUCGGCGUCGGCUUUAC
rnacentral:lncRNA from 1 species